rnacentral:misc_RNA from 1 species
AAGUCGUAACAAGGUUUCCGUAGGUGAACCUGCGGAAGGAUCAUUAACAUCUUAUUUGAUUUGUGUGGUGUUGGGAGUGUUUCUUCUCUUUUGGGGAGAGCACUCUCUCACCCUCAACCCCAUUGUGUGCAUGUUUGUGAGUAAGAGAUGGGUGCUUCUUGUACCUAGCUUUUCUCACUCAUAUACCCUUUCACUUCUUACAACCCAAACCCCUUCUUCUCAUCACACUAGACUGACUUACACCUCGUUUUACUCAGUCUACUGAGCAAAACAUCAAUCAGCAUACAACUCUUAGCAACGGAUAUCUAGGCUCUC